rnacentral:rRNA from 1 species
GAUGAACGCUGGCGGCGUGCCUAAUACAUGCAAGUCGAGCGAAUAGACGAGGAGCUCGCUCCUCUGACGUUAGCGGCGGACGGGUGAGUAACACGUGGAUAACCUACCUAUAAAACUGGGAUAACUUCGGGAAACCGGAGCUAAUACCGGAUAAUAUAUUGAACCGCAUGGUUCAAUAGUAAAAGACGGUUUUUCUUUCACUUAUAGAUGGAUCCGCUCCGCAUUAGCUAGUUGGUAAGGUAACGGCUUACCAAGGCGACGAUGCGUAGCCGACCUGAGAGGGUGAUCGGCCACACUGGAACUGAGACACGGUCCAGACUCCUACGGGAGGCAGCAGUAGGGAAUCUUCCGCAAUGGGCGAAAGCCUGACGGAGCAACGCCGCGUGAGUGAUGAAGGUCUUCGGAUCGUAAAACUCUGUUAUUAGGGAAGAACAAAUGUGUAAGUAACUAUGCACGUCUUGACGGUACCUAAUCAGAAAGCCACGGCUAACUACGUG